UGCUGAUUGAUGUUAUUGCCCCCUCGACGAACGGCAAAUCGGGUCGAGUGUGUCGAAUUGCUCAGAUGAUUAUUACAAAUACCGGCCCGCGGAGACGCUCGAAAUUCGGCCAGCUGAAUUGAGCCUGUUUACGUAAUGACAUUUAGACAAAAUUUGUAGAAAGAAAAAAACGGGACAGAUGCGACGGCGUCAGCGGCAGGUGUUACUUUCGGAAAACAUAAAAACAAAAAGUAUACAAGUCUAGUCUGACAUAUAAACUGGACGCUCUUCUCCGGAGAGCAGAUGUGUGUGCGUGUGCGUGAUCGCAACCCAAAUGUAAUAUAUCCUUCCGCUAGAUGCCUCUUAACUCUGCUUCACGGAAUGGAAAAUAAGAUUCGGCACAGACAAACCGGACAAACCCAGGUGGUUCGUUUAUUUUUGCUCUCGCAGGUUGCGGACGUAUACUUUUUGUUUCAUCGGUUGUCACGGUGUCGCUUUCCUUCUUAUAGCUGCACUGUUUUGUUUUUCGGACGGCGUAAGGAAUUGGGUGUGUUCUCGAUGGGAAACGAUUGAGGUCGCGGGAAUAGGCCGCGCUGCUGGUCAUUCCGGUGUCGCCUGGCCCCCAUGAUGUUCUCCUGAAUGGACUGCGCUCAAUUCGACCAGCUGUCGCAUAAAGCGUCGCAAUUUAUGGGGCAAAGAGGAUCGCUUGAAUUCUCUUACGAAUUCUUUUUUCUUUAUUCAUAAAGUAAAGAGAGAACGGAGAGGAAAUUCUCUAUUUCUUCUUCUUUUUUCUUUUUCUAUAAGACGCGACUGCAGCAGCAGCGGUGAACAAGGAAACUCCAGGGACAUAAGGCACAGGAAAUAACAAGUUCGAAAGAUAUACCAGCAGCAUUUCCCUAGCUACCGCCGCUACCUCCUACCAACCGUGGCUCCAACAGACCCACAAACAAAUCCUUUUGGCCCCGAUUCUUAUAUGCUGACGCGUUGCUGGUACUACCCAAGUAUUUCUUCUUUUUCCGCGUCUCCCUGGAGUCUCUGUUGACCGCCAGUCCUUUUGAACACAUAACAAGUACUUGAAAAUAUUUUUUUCAACUUGUUUGGUAGAAAUAUAUUUUCCUUUGGUACACACAUCUCUCUCGUCGUUAUCAGCCAGCAUCUCUAUGUUUUUUUUUCCUUUUUCCGUUCCUGUGUCGCUCGCUGAGUAUCUCCACGUAGCGGAUCGUCCUGGCAUAUUCUCUUUCUCUCUACCCUUACAGUCUCAAUUGUAUUUUGUUGAUGGUGACGCCGUCUAUACUGAAACUGCACUCUAGACUAGGCACGCAAGAGUAACCAUCUUGUCAGAUCUUGUAUAACUGUCGACAAAUACACUAGGCGUUGAGUCUA